rnacentral:rRNA from 1 species
CCUACGGGAGGCAGCAGUAGGGAAUCUUCCACAAUGGGCGAAAGCCUGAUGGAGCAACGCCGCGUGGGUGAAGAAGGUCUUCGGAUCGUAAAACCCUGUUGUUAGAGAAGACAGUGCGUGAGAGUAACUGUUCACGUUUCGACGGUAUCUAACCAGCAAGCCACGGCUAACUACGUGCCAGCAGCCGCGGUAAUACGUAGGUGGCAAGCGUUAUCCGGAUUUAUUGGGCGUAAAGGGAACGCAGGCGGUCUUUUAAGUCUGAUGUGAAAGCCUUCGGCUUAACCGGAGUAGUGCAUUGGAAACUGGGAGACGUGAGUGCAGGAGAGGAGAGUGGAACUCCAUGUGUAGCGGUGAAAUGCGUAGAUAUAUGGAAGAACACCAGUGGCGAAAGCGGCUCUCUGGUCUGUAACUGACGCUGAGGUUCGAAAGCGUGGGUAGCAAACAGGAUUAGAUACCCUAGUAGUC